rnacentral:lncRNA from 1 species
UCUGCUGCUGCUUCACAGGUGCCGCAGACCCCUGGGAGGCACCAACACCCCGGAUCGAGAAGCCCGAUGGGAAAGAAUGUCUGGGAAGGACGUCAUGCCCGAGGCUUGCGUGACAGUUUCCACUCACAGUGCGCUCACUCUGAACCUCUGUGCACACGAUGGGCCUGCAUCUCUUCCCACUAUCUGCUAGGAAACACGAGGCUUCUGGGUGCCAAGCUCAGGCUAAGGGGAUUUCUGACGGGCUGGACGUCUGGGCUUCAGCCCUGAAAUAAGAGUUUUGAGAAGGAAGAGGGCAGCGCUGGAACCCUCACCCGUCUUUUAAUGAAGGGAUUUGGCUAAGAAGAAAUGCCAAGUACUUCCGCAGGUCAUCCUGAGGUCAGGAUGUGGUCGGUGUGUCUGUCCCUGAGCAGUCAGACCUGAUGGUGGCUGGAGCUCCGGAAAGCUCGGGACCCCUCUAGCGUCCUAGGCCUUCUGUUUUCCUUCCUGCUCCAGGGGGCAGGACUGGCAGAUUCAAGGAAGCUUUCAAGAGGGGUUAGAAAGAAGGGGUGUGCUCCAAUCUGCCAGCCUGAUGUCCUUCAUGGGACCACAGGCCAGGAACUGAGGUUCCCUGCGAGGGGUGGAUGCUGCGUCUGUGAGCCUCCCCACCUUCUUGAAGGCAAGAGCGCCCAGAGGUGUUCGCUUUUGGUGUCGGCCUUUGAGCUGGAGCCUGGAGCUGUUUCUCUGAAUUCCUUCUGCUUGUUUCCUUGUGCUCUUGCCUGGGAAGAAUGAAAUGAAAAGAAAAUGCAAAGCCC